rnacentral:rRNA from 1 species
UACGGAGGGUGCAAGCGUUAUCCGGAUUUACUGGGUUUAAAGGGUGCGUAGGUGGGUUGGGAAGUCAGUGGUGAAAUACUAUCGCUUAACGAUGGAACUGCCAUUGAUACUAUCAAUCUUGAAUGCAGUGGAGGCAGGCGGAAUGCGUCAUGUAGCGGUGAAAUGCUUAGAUAUGACGCAGAACACCAAUUGCGAAGGCAGCUUGCUACACUGCGAUUGACACUGAGGCACGAAAGCGUGGGGAUCAAACAGG